CCAGCCAAGGCAAUCCUCGUUCUCGGGGCGAAGCACGACAUUCUUCCUGGAAUCGUCGAGCAAGAACAGUGGCCCCGCGGGGAUGAAUCGAGGCCCGAGCUCGCUGGCCAUGAAAUCGAAGGUGGGCGCCUCGAGGUCGUAGAAGGAAUUGACGAGGACCCAGCGCGCGCGCUUCACGACGAAGGAGCGCUUGAUGCAAAUCUCCUUCCACACCUCCUGGCCCUCCGAGGCCAGCAGGUAAUCGGGCACAUCGGCCAGGCGGAGGGGCUUGACUCCUCGGACGUAAUCGAUGAUCACGGAAUUGGCCUCGUCCGGGGAAGCUUUCCCUGCGUCAACAGAGGAGGUUAAUUCCAAAGGGAAGAACAGGGGAAAUUUGAUGGUAUUCCAAAGGAAGAACAGGGUAAAUACAAGGGAAGAACAGGGGAAACGUUUAAUUCCAAGGGAAGAACAGGGGAAGAACAGAGAUUCGUACCUCUGCUAGGAAAGAUGUGAUCCUUCUCCAGAAGCUCUGGAAUGUGGUACUCCAAGCUCGUCCAUGCCGCGUUUCCCGACCAAAGAAUGAUCCUGGGGAUUCCAAACACAUCCGCCACAUCCUGGGUCCAAUCGCAGAUGUAAUCCGAGACGAUACAGCUGACCGGAUCGCCCUCCUCGCCGAGCUUGCGGAUCAAAUCCUCGAGGCCGCCGGGGAGCUCUCGCGCGGCUGCCGUGAACCAGUCCCCCACAUUUCCUGCGACGUUGGCGUCGACUCCUCGCGGGAGCUUCCACGAGAAUGGGAUGGAAUGGAGGCGCAGAGCUUCCAGCCCCGCCGGCGCCACCCAGUGCUUGACGAACUCGUCGUGGAGGCUGUCGAUAUUGACCCAGGAGAUUGUGAAGCUUGGAUCUUGGGCGAUGAACUUACAGAGAUGGAUCAUUGGGGAGAUAUGGCCUUGCGCGGGCGCUGGAAACGCCAAGACAUGGACCUUGCGAGAAGCCAUGGUUUCCUUGGCAGGGUUCAUCGGUAUUUAUUAGAAUGGUUUUCUUGGCGGGGAAGGCAACGGAUGUUUACACAAGUUGAUUUCUCGACAAAGAGAGAUUAGCAUAAGCGUUGUGAGAGGCAAUUCUGCUCUAGAACGAGACUCACAUUGACCCAACUUGCAAUUCAUUACAGCUCCUGAAUUUGAACAAGCAAUGAUCCUAUGGAUAGCUGCCGCAUGAAUCUUGAGAAGGUGGCAAAAAUCUGUCCCUACACCUGGCGGCUGGGAAGCUUCCGGCCUUUGAGAAUAUGGUAAGAGCAUUUAACAUUGGAGCAAUCAGAUUCAUGAGUGCACAAAAUGGCCGUCUCUAAAGUCCCAGCCUAAAAUAAGUCCAUGAUUAUCAAUCGAGAGAACGCUUGGUGUGAUGCCUGGUCUGGGCAAAUGCAAGUUAGCAAAGAUUCCGAGCAACGAUAUUGUACUCAAGCAUUUGUAGAGUUUGUUCCAAACGUUUUCAUGUAAGUUUUAACUAAGUCUUGAAGUUCUUUUGCAUUUCCUCACGGAGAGAUGUUGCAUAAAGCACAUGACUAAUGUCUAUUGCUUUGAUUGUAAUUUAUGGUUGGCCACUAGUAAUUAUUGUUUUGAUUGUAAUUUAUGGUCAGCCACUAAUAACAAAACAUCCCUGAGCAAUUUUGUCAAGUAAUUUUUGUUUGUUUACUCAGCCAUUUCCAACAUUAUCCAAAUCCCACGCACAAGCGUUUUACUUGAUUAGCAUGUGUCUAUCUUCAGAACUAAUAGAUAGAAAGUUCUUAUCAAAGAAUGCAUCGUUCGCUCACUCGCGAUCCAGCUUCAUAGCUUUGAGAUCUUCCAGCCAUCCCUGGAGGCCACGAAACGACUUCCCAUUCUCUUUGUCCAUAGCUUUCCUCGCAAGGAUCUUCAAGUUCUCCACUCUCUCCUUCAUCUUCUUCCCCUCCUCGCUAUCCAUCACCUUUCUUAUGCCAGCCUCGAUCUCUCCUCGCUCGAUCAAUCCCUGCACCACUCUCUUGGAGAAUCUAACCCCGAUCUUCCAGUCCUCCACUAUGAACUUACAGUUGGUGUUUUGCUCGCCCCCGUAAGGCCACCCCAGCAUUGGAAUGCCAUUCGCGAUGCUCUCCUGGAUGGAAUUCCAUCCGCAGUGCGUGAGAAACGCUCCCAUGGAGGGAUGGGCGAGAACUCGAAGCUGUGGCGCCCAGGAAACGAUGAAUCCCUGGUUCUUGGUCCUCUCGCAAAACCGAUUGUAAGAUUCGUUCGAGUGACCACCCACCACCAGCUCAGGUCGAAUCACCCACAAGAAUGGCUUCUUCGAUGCCUCGAGAGCUCCCGUGAGCUCCUCGAAUUGCUCCUCGCUCAGCACCGCGACGCUGCCAAAUGAGAUGUAGAGCACUGAUCCAGGCUCCUGCUCAUCCAUCCAGCGAAGGCAAUCCUCGUUCUCCGGGCGAAGCACCACAUUCUUCCUGGAAUCGUCGAGCAAGAACAGUGGCCCCGCGGGGAUGAAUCGAGGCCCGAGCUCGCUGGCCAUGAAAUCGAAGGUGGGCGCCUCGAGGUCGUAGAAGGAAUUGACGAGGACCCAUCGUGCGCGCUUCACGACGAAGGAGCGCUUGAUGGCCAACUCCUUCAACACCUCCCGGCCCUCCGAGGCCAGCAGGUAAUCGGGCACAUCGGCCAGGCGGAGGGGCUUCACUCCUCGGACGUAAUCGAUGAUCACGGAAUUGGCCUCGUCCGGGGAAGCUUUCCCUGCGUCAACGGAGGAGGUUAAUUCCAAAGGGAAGAACAGGGGAAAUUUGAUGGUCCAAGGGAAGAACAGGGGAAGAACGGAGAUUCGUAC
rnacentral:lncRNA from 1 species